GGGUAGUUAAGUCAGGAGUGAAAUCCAAUAGCUCAACUAUUGAACUGCUUUUGAAACUGAUUACCUAGAAUAUGGGAGAGGUAGAUGGAAUUUCUGGUGUAGGGGUAAAAUCCGUAGAGAUCAGAAGGAAUACCGAUUGCGAAGGCGAUCUACUGGAACAUUAUUGACGCUGAGACGCGAAAGCGUGGGGAGCAAACAGGAUUAGAUACCCUGGUAGUCCACGCCCUAAACGAUGUACACUAGUUGUUGUGAGGCUCGACCUUGCAGUAAUGCAGUUAACACAUUAAGUGUACCGCCUGGGGAGUACGGUCGCAAGAUUAAAACUCAAAGGAAUAGACGGGGACCCGCACAAGCGGUGGAGCAUGUGGUUUAAUUCGACGAUACACGAAGAACCUUACCUGGACUUGACAUAGUAAGAACUUUCUAGAGAUAGAUUGGUGUCUGCUUGCAGAAACUUAUAUACAGGUGCUGCACGGCUGUCGUCAGCUCGUGUCGUGAGAUGUUGGGUUAAGUCCCGCAACGAGCGCAACCCUCGUCAUUAGUUGCUAACAGUUCGGCUGAGAACUCUAAUGAGACUGCCUACGCAAGUAGGAGGAAGGUGAGGACGACGUCAAGUCAUCAUGGCCCUUACGUCCAGGGCUACACACGUGCUACAAUGGGGUAUACAAAGAGCCGCAAUACGGUGACGUGGAGCAAAUCUCAAAAAUAUCUCCCAGUUCGGAUUGUAGUCUGCAACUCGACUACAUGAAGUUG
rnacentral:rRNA from 1 species